rnacentral:tRNA from 1 species
CUCUCCGUAGUUCAAUGGAUAGAACGAGUGCCUCCUAAGCGCUAGAUACAGGUUCGAUUCCUGUCGGGGGGACCA